UGGGGGAUAUUGCACAAUGGAGGAAACUCUGAUGCAGCAACGCCGCGUGAGGGAAGAAGGUCUUCGGAUUGUAAACCUUUGUCCUCGGUGACGAUAAUGACGGUAGCCGAGGAGGAAGCUCCGGCUAACUACGUGCCAGCAGCCGCGGUAAUACGUAGGGAGCAAGCGUUGUCCGGAUUUACUGGGUGUAAAGGGUGCGUAGGCGGCAAUGCAAGUCAGAUGUGAAAACUAUGGGCUUAACUCAUAGAUUGCAUUUGAAACUGUGUUGCUUGAGUGAAGUAGAGGCAGGCGGAAUUCCCGGUGUAGCGGUGAAAUGCGUAGAGAUCGGGAGGAACACCAGUGGCGAAGGCGGCCUGCUGGGCUUUAACUGACGCUGAGGCACGAAAGCAUGGGUAGCAAACA
rnacentral:rRNA from 1 species